GAUGAACGCUAGCGGCAGGCCUAACACAUGCAAGUCGAGGGGUAGCAGGAUUAAGCUUGCUUAAUUGCUGACGACCGGCGCACGGGUGCGUAACGCGUAUGCAACCUACCUUAUACUGGGGUAUAGCCCGGAGAAAUUCGGAUUAAUCCCCUAUAGUACUAAUGAAUCGCAUGGUUUAUUAGUCAAAGCAUUGCGGUAUAAGAUGGGCAUGCGUCCUAUUAGCUAGAUGGUGAGGUAACGGCUCACCAUGGCUACGAUAGGUAGGGGGCCUGAGAGGGUGGUCCCCCACACUGGUACUGAGACACGGACCAGACUCCUACGGGAGGCAGCAGUGAGGAAUAUUGGUCAAUGGGCGCAAGCCUGAACCAGCCAUGCCGCGUGCAGGAAGAAUGCCCUAUGGGUUGUAAACUGCUUUUAUUUGGGAAUAAACCUCUUUACGUGUAGAGAGCUGAAGGUACCAAAUGAAUAAGCACCGGCUAACUCCGUGCCAGCCGCCGCGGUAA
rnacentral:rRNA from 1 species